UACGUCGUCGUUGAUCGUCGAAAAAGGUAGAAAAAGUUUGCUCUUUUUGUUUGGAUUUUGGAAUGCACCUAAAAUUUGUGAAAAUCAAAAAAUAUCUUAAUAUUUCAUCAACUCGAACGAGACGUGUCUGGAUCAAGAAAUCUCUUCCAAUCUUAGCCAUGUUCCCGUUCCUGCUCCUUCCCUUCACUCUCGUUCAGCAGAGGUACAAGUGGGCAGCGGCUUUCUUCGGGUCUCCAAGUAACCCGCCAAGGGUGUUCGUGGCCAUUUGUGGAUGUCCUUUCGAUUUAGAUGCUGCUGUCCCUGGCGGAAGUUGGAGGUAGUGUAAAUACGUUGGGGGUCUGGCCGUAGCACCUUGAG